rnacentral:lncRNA from 1 species
CUGUGGGCGCGAGGGCAUCAACAGGUGGCCGUGUGCAGCGGAGAGGCCAAUGGCGAGGACCCGGACUGGGGGUCCUGCUGCCAUGCUGUGAGAAGCCGAAGUUUCAUGGAGAGGCCACAUGGAGUGAAAACAAAGGUGAUAGGGACAAUAGCUCCACCUGAGAUCCUGAUUAAUACACAGACUUUAGCCAUCUUGGAUGCUCCAGCCUAAUCGAUCUCCCACUUGACUCUAGUCUCACCUGACAUUAUGUAGAGGAAAACCAUCCAGCUCCACCUAGUCAACCCACAGAAUAAUGAGAUGAUCAUAAGACUGUAGUUGUUUAACAUUAUUAACUUUUGGGGUGGUUUAUUACACAGUGAUAGAUAAAUAAAAUGGGAG